GCCAGGUGUGAUGGCUCACACCUGUAAUCCCAGCAGUUUGGGAGGCCGAGGCGGGUGGAUCACCUGAGGUCAGGAGUUCGAGACCAGCCUGGCCAACAUGGUGAAACCCUGUCUCUA
rnacentral:SRP_RNA from 1 species